GAUGAACGCUGGCGGCGUGCCUAAUACAUGCAAGUCGAGCGAGUGGAUUAAGAGCUUGCUCUUAUGAAGUUAGCGGCGGACGGGUGAGUAACACGUGGGUAACCUGCCCAUAAGACUGGGAUAACUCCGGGAAACCGGGGCUAAUACCGGAUAACAUUUUGAACCGCAUGGUUCGAAAUUGAAAGGCGGCUUCGGCUGUCACUUAUGGAUGGACCCGCGUCGCAUUAGCUAGUUGGUGAGGUAACGGCUCACCAAGGCAACGAUGCGUAGCCGACCUGGGGGGGUGGACGGCCACCCUGGGACUGGAACACGGCCCAGACUCCUACGGGAGGCAGCAGUAGGGAAUCUUCCGCAAUGGACGAAAGUCUGACGGAGCAACGCCGGGUGAGUGAUGAAGGCUUUCGGGUCGUAAAACUCUGUUGUUAGGGAAGAACAAGUGCUAGUUGAAUAAGCUGGCACCUUGACGGUACCUAACCAGAAAGCCACGGCUAACUACGUGCCAGCCGCCGCCGUAA
rnacentral:rRNA from 1 species